UGAGGAAGGAAGCCUGGUGUUGGGAG
rnacentral:piRNA from 1 species